rnacentral:rRNA from 1 species
UACGUAGGGGGCGAGCGUUAUCCGGAUUCACUGGGUGUAAAGGGAGCGUAGACGGCCAUGCAAGCCAGGGGUGAAAGCCCGGGGCCCAACCCCGGGACUGCCCUUGGAACUGCAUGGCUGGAGUGCGGGAGGGGCAGGCGGAAUUCCUGGUGUAGCGGUGAAAUGCGUAGAUAUCAGGAGGAACACCGGCGGCGAAGGCGGCCUGCUGAACCGCGACUGACGUUGAGGCUCGAAAGCGUGGGGAGCGAACAGG